rnacentral:rRNA from 1 species
UCUGGUGGCUAUAGCACGAGCAAAACACCCGACCCCAUUCCGAACUCGGCAGUUAAGUGCCGUCGCGCUGAUGGUACUGCGUCCUAAGACGUGGGAGAGUAAGUCACCGCCAGAC